GACGAACGCUGGCUGCGUGCUUAACACAUGCAAGUCGAACGCUGAAGCCCGAAGCUUGCUUCGGGUGGAUGAGUGGCGAACGGGUGAGUAACACGUGAGUAACCUGCCCCUGAUUUCGGGAUAAGCCUGGGAAACUGGGUCUAAUACCGGAUAUGACAACCUGACGCAUGUCGGGUGGUGGAAAGUUUGUCGAUCGGGAAGGGGCUCGCGGCCUAUCAGCUUGUUGGUGGGUUAAUGGCCUACCAAGGCGACGACGGGUAGCCGGCCUGAGAGGGCGACGGGCCACACUGGGACUGAGACACGGCCCAGACUCCUACGGGAGGCAGCAGUGGGGAAUAUUGCACAAUGGGGGAAACCCUGAUGCAGCGACGCAGCGUGCGGGAUGACGGCCUUCGGGUUGUAAACCGCUUUCAGCAGGGAAGAAGCGAAAGUGACGGUACCUGCAGAAGAAGUACCGGCUAACUACGUGCCAGCCGCCGCAGUAA
rnacentral:rRNA from 1 species